UGGCUCAGAGUGAACGCUGGCGGCGUGCUUAACACAUGCAAGUCGAACGGACUUAAGGGGCUUGCUUCUUAAGUUAGUGGCGCACGGGUGAGUAAUAUAUAGCUAACCUGCCCUUUAGUGGGGGACAACAGUUGGAAACGACUGCUAAUACCCUAUACUCCUUCUUACUAUAAGGUAAGUUGGGAAAGAUUUAUCGCUAAAGGAUGGGGCUCUAUUGUAUCAGCUAGUUGGUGGGGUAAUGGCCUACCAAGGCUAUGACGCAUACCUGGUCUGAGAGGAUGAUCAGGCACACUGGAACUGAGACACGGUCCAGACUCCUACGGGAGGCAGCAGUGGGGUAUAUUGCACAAUGGAGGAAACUCUGAUGCAGCAACGCCGCGUGGAGGAUGACGCAUUUCGGUGUGUAAACUCCUUUUAUAGGGGAAGAUAAUGACGGUACCCUAUGAAUAAGCACCGGCUAACUCCGUGCCAGCAGCCGCGGUAAUACGGAGGGUGCAAGCGUUACUCGGAAUCACUGGGCGUAAAGGAUGCGUAGGCCGGAAAUCAAGUCGAGAGUGAAAUCCAACGGCUCAACCGUUGAACUGCUCUCGAAACUGGUUACCUAGAAUAUGGGAGAGGUAGAUGGAAUUAGUGGUGUAGGGGUAAAAUCCGUAGAUAUCACUAGGAAUACCGAUUGCGAAGGCGAUCUACUGGAACAUUAUGACUGGCUCAGAGUGAACGCUGGCGGCGUGCUUAACACAUGCAAGUCGAACGGACUUAAGGGGCUUGCUUCUUAAGUUAGUGGCGCACGGGUGAGUAAUAUAUAGCUAACCUGCCCUUUAGUGGGGGACAACAGUUGGAAACGACUGCUAAUACCCUAUACUCCUUCUUACUAUAAGGUAAGUUGGGAAAGAUUUAUCGCUAAAGGAUGGGGCUCUAUUGUAUCAGCUAGUUGGUGGGGUAAUGGCCUACCAAGGCUAUGACGCAUACCUGGUCUGAGAGGAUGAUCAGGCACACUGGAACUGAGACACGGUCCAGACUCCUACGGGAGGCAGCAGUGGGGUAUAUUGCACAAUGGAGGAAACUCUGAUGCAGCAACGCCGCGUGGAGGAUGACGCAUUUCGGUGUGUAAACUCCUUUUAUAGGGGAAGAUAAUGACGGUACCCUAUGAAUAAGCACCGGCUAACUCCGUGCCAGCAGCCGCGGUAAUACGGAGGGUGCAAGCGUUACUCGGAAUCACUGGGCGUAAAGGAUGCGUAGGCCGGAAAUCAAGUCGAGAGUGAAAUCCAACGGCUCAACCGUUGAACUGCUCUCGAAACUGGUUACCUAGAAUAUGGGAGAGGUAGAUGGAAUUAGUGGUGUAGGGGUAAAAUCCGUAGAUAUCACUAGGAAUACCGAUUGCGAAGGCGAUCUACUGGAACAUUAUGAC
rnacentral:rRNA from 1 species